rnacentral:sRNA from 2 species
CCUGAUCCGGAGCCGAGCUCUGCCAGCGGACCAGGUGCACGAGCAAUAACUGGCAGAGGCGGGGGAACCACAAGCGGCAGCGGGGGACUGCCUUGGGGUGAAGUCCGUCAGCAGCAAGCCUCUUCCAGCGAAGGAACCCUUUCCGGGGAUAUCUCUGUGCCGAAGCUUGCCUACGGCGGACCGGGUCUUUGAACUCUCUGACCCGAAUCCGACAGCUAACUUCGCAGGCUUUCAGAGAGGAAUC